UACGAAGGGGGCUAGCGUUGCUCGGAAUCACUGGGCGUAAAGGGUGCGUAGGCGGGUCUUUAAGUCAGAGGUGAAAUCCUGGAGCUCAACUCCAGAACUGCCUUUGAUACUGAGGAUCUUGAGUUCGGGAGAGGUGAGUGGAACUGCGAGUGUAGAGGUGAAAUUCGUAGAUAUUCGGAAGAACACCGGUGGCGAAGGCGGCUAUCUGGCCCGUAAUUGACGCUGAGGCGCGAAAGCGUGGGGAGCAAACAGG
rnacentral:rRNA from 1 species